rnacentral:rRNA from 1 species
AGCCAGCGACUCUAAAGAAAUCAGCUAUCAGUCGCCCCUUCGGGGGCUGGCGACGCCAUCAAUCUGUGUCUGGGAGUAUGCCCCGCCGAGGGGGCUAUCACCAGCAGCUCGUUGCAUUGAGUUCACAGGUCAAACGAUAGCGGCCACUUCGGUGGUUGAGAUAUGAUCGGCCUCCAGCGCCACCUAGCUGGGGAAUUUUGCGGAACCUGCGGAAGGAUCAUUA